UACAGAGGUCUCAGGCGUUGUUCGGAUUCAUUGGGCGUAAAGGGUGCGUAGGCGGCGCGGUAAGUCGGGUGUGAAAUCUCGGAGCUUAACUCCGAAACUGCAUUCGAUACUGCCGUGCUUGAGGACUGGAGAGGAGACUGGAAUUUACGGUGUAGCGGUGAAAUGCGUAGAUAUCGUAAGGAAGACCAGUGGCGAAGGCGGGUCUCUGGGCCGAUACUGACGCUGAGGAGCGAAAGCGUGGGGAGCGAACAGG
rnacentral:rRNA from 1 species